CUGAGCUUCCACUCAUCUUGAAGGACUGGGUAGAUCUGCCCUUGGGACACAUCUGGAAAUAGGGAGGCUUUGAUUUUCUUCUCUGGAUGCUGUGCAGGGUGAAGCAGCAUGGAUCAUGGACAGGUUACCUGCCCCAUGCAGAGCUUCUCUGACACCUUCUGCUGACCAAGGAAAAGAGGAAUCAUCUUCCCUCCACAGAACUCUUCCAUUUGGUAAUCCUGAUUAUUGGGAAGGGUACCAAUAGUGUUAGCCUUUUUUUCCAGCCUUUCAUGCUUAAUUAUUAAAAUGUCUUGAGCCGCACUGAAUAAUUAAUACAGACUUUGUUUAUGUCAUGAGGGAGAGAAGUUGUUGCCUUGGAAUGAUGGUGUAUAACUUCCACUGGGUAAGGAGAACAUUUCUGAGCCUCAUCAGUUUCACAAAGCAGAUAGAGGCAGCUGUUGUUUCUGCUCCUACUCUGGUUUGCACCAGAACUACCAUGCUGAAGGAAAAGGUAUAAGCAAUGGCAAAGUCUUCUUCUCAUCCUAAUGAAAAACAGCCUCAAGUGAUCCUUCACAGUAGAAGGUAGAGAGGAGUUUUAUAAAGCCAGGAAUUUCUUCUUUGUUGUCACUUCUUUCAAAACAAUUUCUAUUUUGGAAGGAAGAUUAAUACUGACUGCAGUAUCUAUUUGACUCCGUGGAGACAGAAGCCAUUCUGAUGUGCCAGCCCUAUGUGCUGAUGAACAAUCAGCUUUGCUACCCCAGUUACAGCAAAGAAGACCUUGCAGGAGGAGGAAAAAGGUCCAGUGAGUUUUACCAAGCCAGAGAGACCUCUAGAACACUGGUGGUUGUUUUUUCUCCUGAAAAAAGAGACUUGACUGGUGCCCCAAGCAGAAAGGACCCUGAGUCAGCUUCAUGAUUAAAUGUAACACAAAGAUUUUGAAAUAUGGCAAUAGGUUCACCUUAAAAAGCACAAAAGCCAGGAAUGGAUUCUUGAGAUGAAAUUUUUCAGACCUUUGCCUUUGCAAUGCCAUCUUUGUAAGCUCUGCAAACAGCUCAGCCAAGUUACUGGUGAUAAGUAGUAAAACCUGUUGAUAAGUUCUUUAUUCCCCAAAGCUUUGCUCUAUCCAAGAAAAGCAUACAUUGAUCAGGAGAUUAAUGAUAUUUAAUAUGUGAAAGACGGAUUUGAAUGGGUGUGGUUGUUGGGGCAAUAUUUGUGAUUAUCCCAGCAGUACA
rnacentral:lncRNA from 1 species